rnacentral:tRNA from 1 species
GUUUUAAUAGUUUAAAUAAAACAUUGGUCUUGUAAACCAAAAUUAAGAAUCACUUUUAAAGCU